AUUUAUAUAUUUAUUAAUUCCAUUCUUUGACUUUUAGAUUUUUGUAUUGUUGUGAAUUGUUAGAUACUACUGCACUGUCGGAGCUAGGAACACCAGCAUUUCGCUACACACGCAAUAACAUCUGCUAAAUAUGUGUAUGUGACCAAUAAAAUUUGAUUUGGUUUUUGAAUUAAAGGUAUACAUGAAUAACCAUAGGUCUAUACAUUAUGAGAAUAACUGCCUUUAUAUUACAGCAGUAACAAACACCAACACGAAGUACAACUUCUAUAGGAAUAGCCUACUCACCGAUGAUGAAAAUAACUGAUAUUCCCAAAUAUUGAAGCGUUGUCAUUUUCCAGUUCUCUACUGCUGGGACUUUAACAGUCUAUUGACUUGCUUUACAUUUGCACCUCUGGAAGCAUCCGUCUCUGUCUCAACUAAGUGAAAUGGCACUUUCAGCCAAUCCGAUUCUGGGGGCGAGCUUUUCUGCACAACACCUGCAGUUCUAGUUCACCUCAGAAUCGCUCGUCUUAGCCCGCCCAGAGUGGCUCGCUUUUGGGCAGCAUAUAGCAGCACUUUCGGUUGUGCUUCAAGAAUGCAGCAUAGCAAGUUCGUAUGAAGGUCUGGUUAUUAAAUGGGUAAAUAGUUCACGUUACAUAGUAAUAUGGUCUAAAACGCUCUGGUGACAAACGUUGCUGCCCUGUUUCCAAUCGUCCACAUGACUGGGAGGACCUAUUCAAGUACUAGUGUUGCUGACUCUGAAGUCAAAGAAAAGAGCCAUCACGCUUUGCGGCGCAAAUUGAUGUAAGAUUACUGUGAGAAGGAGGAUUUAAUGGAAUCAGAGGAUGAGGGAAAGUCUUGGCUGCUUCAACUGAAAGACGAAAUCAAAGGAAUAUUGGACUGAGGAUACUGCGAAAAGUCUGCCUACAAGUCCCAGCCAGUCGGCGCCAACGAUGCAAGUGGACAGCGAACCCAGCGGAGAGACGGGAGCUGCAGCAGGACGAAAAGAGGAGGGAGGGGGCCUUCAGCCCAGCAGAGAAGUGGUCUCAGCUCCAGAAAGGCACCUGCCACAGAGAGAGAAUGGAGUGAGUAUGUCCAGUUAUAAAGAUUUUAAAAUCCUUGGGCAGAUAGGAGAUCAGAAUCAUUAAGAUAAGCUCAGCUUCAGCAGCCUAGAACAUCAAAUUGAAAAUGGAUGGAGAAAAGGGUACAAUGAAUUAGAAAUCAUAGAAGCAGUAAUCAGAGCUGUGAGCCCAGGGUUUAAAAUGUGGAGUUAUCUGGAGGGAAAAACAGACAUGACACUCUACACACUAAGGCAAAUCUUGAGGACACAUUAUGCAGAGAAGGACGCUGCUGAACUGUAUCACAAGUUGACCAAGGCAACACAAGAGCUGGGAGAGUCUGCCUUGGACUUCCUAGUCCGAGUCUUUGACCUCAGCUCGAGCCCAAUCAGGACUGAAAUAUGGCACAGAGUUAGUCAAGAGCCAAUGCCCGCAGGCCAUUGUUACUGGAUUAACAAAUGUUAAUGUCAGGGUAGAGAUGACAGUGCAUCUCCAGAAUAUUAACACCAGUGAUGAACUCAUUAGUACAGUCAGUGCAGGGCCAGGGUGACAGUUAAGUUAGGAAUCGCUCCAACAGAAAACCAAGUCCAACCAACAGAGAGAAAUGAAAAGGUUGUUAUGAGACUGGUCAACAGACUUGCCAGCGUUGCUACAAAUGUGGCAGUGAUAGCCAUUGGGCAGUAGGAUGUAGGAUCAGGGGCAACGUACAUCCAUCGGGAAACGCCUGGGGGCCACAACCAUGGAUCGGAGAUGCUAACAUCUCUGUUGACGAGUCUACGAUAUGUAAAACACUAAAGAAGAAUGGUGUUCAUGGGAGGACACCACGGAAGAAGCCACUGCUGUCCAAAAAAACAGCUGUCUGAAAAUGGCAAAAGUGCACCUGGAUGUUCCAUAGCGCUACUGGCAAAAUAUUCUGUGGACAGAUGAAACUACAGUUGAGUUGUUUGGAAGGAACACACAACACUAUGUGUGGAGAACAAAAGGCACAGCACACCAACAUCAAAACCUCAUCCCAGCUGUAAAGUAUGGUGGAGGGAGCAUCAUGGUUUGGGGCUGCUUUGCUGCCUCAGGGCCUGGACAGCUUGUUGUCAACGACAGAAAAAUGAAUUUCUAAGUUUAUCGAGACAUUUUGCAGGAGAAUGUUAGGCUAUCUGUCCGCCAAUUGAAGCUCAACAGAAGUUGAGUGAUGCAACAGGACAACGACCCAAAAUACAGAAGUAAAUCAACUACAGAAGAAAAUACCCCUUCUGGUGCGGCCCAAUCAGAGUCCUGACCUCAAACCGAUUCAGAUGCUGUGGCAUGACCUCAAGAUAGCAGUUCACACCAGACAUCCCAAGAAUAUUGCUGAACUGAAACAGUUUUGUGAAGAGGAAUGGUCCAAAAUUCUUCCUGACCGUUGUG
rnacentral:lncRNA from 1 species